CAGCAGCAGCUUUCUCAGCCCAGCUGCUGGCCGCCUCUCUGCUGCAGCCUUUUGCAAGCAAAACGUGCUCGCACCUUGGCUGUGGCCACGUGGAGCCUGGCAGCUUCCCAAGAGCCACCAGUGCCACGAUUGCUGCAGGAGGAUGGUCGGUGGAGCAGAGGGAGAUGCUUUCUGGGGGACAGGAUUUUGCCCUGCUGGCUCCAGUCAGGAGAUGGGAUGAGUGGCAAGGAGCAGCACUGAAGCUGGCGGGGGGCUUGUUGAUGCUGCAACAAGUGGUCAAGCUGGAGCAGGAAGCUGGUGCUUUACAAAGAGAUUUAUUGUUGUGAGUAGAGCAAAAGUCCCAGGGACAGCGGUGCCUGUGUGUGGGCAGGUUUGACUUGUAUAACCUGCCUUUGCUGGGACUUUGGAUGGGAUUUUCAGUGGCACAAAAGGAAGCUUGGUGCCUGAAUCCUGCUGUGAUUUUGCCUUUUAAGCUUAAUAUUGCUAUUUUCCUUUGUCCUCAGCACUCAGGGAACCCUCCCAGGCAGGUCAUGCUUGCAGUGAUGUGAAGAAAGGGCAGGUUUUGGCAGAGAGACCUCCAAGUGCACAUACUGGCACACAGGCUAGAAUUCCACCUGCUGAAACAGUGGCUGGUCAGAAACAGCACCAAAGCUCAGAUGAAAUUAAGGACUUGGAGAUUUUACAUCCUGCCCCUGCUGCAUGUGUCCUAUCAGUGUGUUUUGGGGAAGCUGGUGAGCCAGCCAAUGCUGUGGACAUAGAAAAGAGGACAUCUCCAAUGCCCUCUUAUGUUCCCUGAAGAUUUUGUACUGGGCAGCAGUCCUCCCACGGGGAUGUGCACAGGCCACCUGAAUGGACUGACAGUCCCUUUCACCCUGCUCUCUGCAGCUCCCUCCCUGCUUGAUGGGAAGGCUGUUCCUCGGGUGCUGGAGUUCAUUCCUGCACGUAGAACACUGCUCAGCAGAGGAAGCUGUGGGAGGGCCAUCCCGCUGCCCCAGCUGGAUGAAGUCAUCUUGGAGCAUGGGUGCGGUGGUGAAAGACAGACACAGUGAAUUUACAUCUCUUGGAUAAAGGGAGAAACCGAAGAAAGAUUUCCCCUGUGAGCUGGCUUUUAUCGUCAGUGUGAACAUCUUAGUCAGCACAAGCUCAGACUUCUAAAAUUGUGCAGCCGUGUGCUGUGAGAGCUACAGGCUCUGCAACUUCCUGAUUCCCUGGAUCAGCCAAGGAUAAAGGCUCCAGGAUCUGGUGCUCCUCCGGCAGGAAUGGCUGAGCCCAGGUCAGAUGGAUUGGUAUCUUUCAUCCAGAGCACCAUAAAGAAUAAAGAAAAAAUGUAUGGUGAUCAUGGGAAGUCAGAUUGGGAAGUGCGUGAUGGAGGCCAUCAAGUUUUAAACUUCAAGGAAGCCUUUGAAAUCCCAGGGUUUUCAGUGUGCUGCCUGGUCACUGUUUCCAUCAGCUGGCCCUUCACCAGAUUCCUGGGAAGAUGUCACCUGGCAAUCACAUGAAGCACAGGUUCCCCAAGGUUCUUGCUCUUCCUUGCAGAGCCUUGCAAAGCUUGCAGGAUGAUUUGAGCUGGCUGAAGAGCAGGAGUUGCUUUCUCCUCAUCUUCCUCUCCAGGCUACAUUUCACUGCUAAUAUGGCAGGUAGCUCCCUCCUGUAUUGAGGGUAGUUUCCAUGAAGUCAGGAAAUAUGAGAAGCAGAAAAGUUGGAAACUCUGGAUCCACUAGGCAAGCCUCGACUCUCCUUGGGGAAGAUGUGUGUGGAAGUUGUGGGUGGUCUGAAUUUUGGGUGCUUGAGCAGGAGGCUUUGGAUAUUGGUGUGGAUAUCCAAGUUGCUUUGAGAAUACUUCAGGCUGAAUGAGAAGUGAAUUCCCUAAAUCUCUCCCCUAGGGUCUCAUCGACUUUCAGCAGAAUCGUCCCUCAGAGGCAACUCAGCUAUCUUCAUUCAUGGAAUUCUCAGUGAUGCUCUGCUAUCAAGUUCCCUUUGAAAAGGUUUUUGUGCUGUAAUCUGCUGGCUGGUUACUUAACUGGUGCAGCUUACAGACCUCUGCUGGCUGUUGCACGUCUUUUAAUUUUUAAGGGUUUAUUUCAGCUCCUUUGUGAAGCGUAAGGAAAUGGAUGAUUAGCAACAUUCUUCCCAGUAUUUUAGAAGCAUUAGUAAAUGUUGAAUAAAGGGCAAUCACACUGUUGUUUUCAUGGAAACUGUGAAAUAAAGACUGCUAGAUUAGGUGCAAUCCUGAUCUUAAAGUCACAAUUCUUACACAAUGCUUUUUGCACUCUGGUGCAAAAAUUUUUAUGUGAGAAUGUGUGCUAGCAAUGAGCCAAGUAAUUCAGCACUGCAGGAAUCCCACCAACUUCAUCUCCAAACUGGUAACGAACAUGGGCCUGGACACGUCCAACUGAUGCGUUUGCCUGCAGAAAUUAUCUAUGUACAGUCAAUGACAGCAGUGUCUUUUAGAUGUUGGGUUUGAUGCAGUGAGCGUAUGUGACACUUCUGCUUUGCUUCCUCUUCUUCCUGUGCCCUGGACUUAGCUGUGCUCUGCUUUCUGUAAUCUAGCCAGACACCCUGUUCCUGGGAAAAGGCACCCUGUGCCUGGAAGAAGGUGAGCUGGGCAGCUGUGUUGGAGAACUUGUGUCAGCCUCCAGCAGCUAACUGAUCCCCUGUGCCUUGCUGCCCUUUUGCACGGCUUCAGUACCUGAGCCAGUAUGUUUCCAGCUGGCAGUGGUGUGCCUGAACAGUGCUGAACGGCAACUGCUUGGAGGACAAGAGUGGUGUGGUUGGAGCAGAGGUGCUUGCUGACGUAGCUGACUAGAUGAACUGGUUGACUGGUUAAAUACUGGUGGCAAAAGAACUCGCAAAGCUGCUUUGCAGAAGUGGGUGGGUCUCAGCCACAUCCUCACUGGCUUUGGUAUUUGUCCUCAAGCCUCAUUUCCAUUUUCUGUACACCCUUUGCUUUCUGCUCUCCUUUUUUGGCAGAUGUCGGCCAGUAGGUAGUGGCAGCCUGUCAGAAGUGACUGGAGACCUUUGCUGGAUGAACAAAGUCUAUCCACUCUCUGUCCAGUCUGAAAACGACACAGAAGGCAUGGGGCACCCAGUCACAGUCCUGUUGCUCAUCUUUCAAACUGCAGGAGGUGAACGGCAAUGUCACCCGGGGACACACCACCCUGGAGGCAUUGCCAUGAGAGUCAUGGCGACAUCUCAGCAGGUGGUUUUCAGGUGAAGAGCACUUAAGGCCAUGGAUGUGAAUGCUCUCUCUUUUCCCAGGCCCUUCAGCGAUUUAUAAUGCUUUCUGUUCAGGUGCAUCCGAAACAGGUAUUACAAGGUACACGGCUCCCGCCACUCCCUCCUGCAAGGCUGAGGUGCAGGGCAGGUAGUCCCCUUCUCCCGGAGGGGCUUCACCCAUCUGUGCUUCCUGCACUGUGGGGCUCCAGGCUGUUUGCAGAGAUGGCACACUGACCAUUUUUGCUUCUUGCUGUACACCAGUGACCCCUGGCUGCUCUCCCACUGAUGUAGCUCACCACACCAACGGGAUGUUGAGGUGGCAGGGGGACAGCAGCUGCUGGGGAUGUAGGAGGGAACAGCUAGCUGCUGCCUCAGCCUUGUGCCUGGGGGGAUGCUGGCUGGAGAGGUGGGGGGCGGGAGUAGAGAGAUGCCUCCAAGAAGGAGUUGGGCCACCACGCUCAACUUCCUCCAAGCCCAUCUGCCCCUGCUCAUCUGCAAGGCUUUGAUGCAUGUAGACAAACACCAGGGAAGUGUAAUCCAACUGGCUUGGGUGCUGUUAGGCAGGGAAUUGCCACCCCAACAUUUAAUCACCUGAGCAAGUGCUAGGUGAGCCUGAAAAGCCCGGUCUGAAAAUGAUGGCAUUGCAGAGAAAGACAGGUUUUGUCCAGCAUUGAUCUUGGCUAGCAGCUCCCUUGUGAGGAAUGGGCUGUGCUGCAUAUGGCCCUUCAGUCUGCUCAGGCCACUUCUGAGGUGCUGGUCUUGGAGGGGCUCCAUCCCUGGCUUGCACGAAGAGCACUUGUCUGGGCCAGGGGAAAUCUCAAGGGCCCUGAAGCAUGUGGCCAGGUCUGCUCGUCUUCCACAAUGUCCUACAACAGCAGGAAUAUUGUACAAGGAGGUGACUUAGGCAGUACUGUGGGUUUUCACAGCACAAGGCACACCCUCAACUGAAAAUUUGCAUAAAUACCUUUCCAAGUCACAAGUAUUUUCUAAAUAGAACCAAAAUCGCAUGUGAGGCAGGGAGGGGCAUUUACAGGAAAGGCAGGUUUGCUACAUUUGGAUCUCAUGCAAGAAAUGGGAUUAGUACUGUCCACAAAAGUUAGAGCAUGAAUUUGUCAGGAUCUGGUUGAGGAAGUUCCUUAGCACAGAUGGAAUGACCUUGAUGCUUUUGACCUGACAAAGCCAGUUAAUGCCAAGAAGCAGUUUUUGUGUCCAUGACAGGGAGAUGAGACCAUUGGUCCUGAUGACACCUCUUCAGGACACGUCCGUGUGAACCCAAGGGACCAGAGAUCCCCACAUGGUAUAGUGAUGAUUGGUGUUGAAGACUGCAACCCCAAAACUCAGGAGCACCCUCUUUUUGAGAAAGAAUUUGAGAGGUGGAGAGGAGGCAGGAGAGAAGUGAGUUUAUUUAGAAUUAUCCACUUAAGGUCUUCUCUGGUUGCUCUCAGAGCAUUUUCCAGAGGACACUGCUAUUCUUACCCUGUCUUAUCCCAUGGGGAAAAGCACAGCAGUAAGGUGGCUGAGCUGUGGUCAGUGCAAAGCCUGGAGAAGGACAUUGCUCUGUGGGAUUUCAACUAGGUGGUUCCUACCAGUUAAGUUAUAAGUGAUAUAAAAAUAUCUGUUCUGCUUUCUUUAUUUAGAAAUCACCAUUUCCAGUGAGAAGUGGGUAGAGGGAGAGUCAGUAAUCCCUGCUGCUUCCACUUCUUUUCCUUACUAGUCUGCCUGUCAAUUCCCUUUUACCAUUUUACAUGUGGUUACUUGAUACCAGCAGCUGUUUUGGGACAUCUCUGUCUGUCACAUCCUUCUUUUUAUUUCAGUGUCCAAAAGUUUGAGUGCAGCACAAAAAACAAAACUAAACUAAACUAAAAACCCCACAUUAACAAAAUGUGAGUUUCCUCCCAGGUUCAGUUCUAAACACGUCACUUUAAUGAUGUCUAAACUACACAGCACUUGAUGAGCAAAACAUUACUAUCUUCUAGCCACAUUUGUUUUCCCUGUCUCCCAGAGUAUUAUAGUCACCCGGGGAGAACUGCGUGUUCUACUUCGUUGCUGUAAAGCUAUUAUGGGUAUGAAAAGUUCCCAUUAAUCUGCUCCACACAUGGAUGUUUCUGGAUAAAGUUCAGUAGCCAGAUCCCUCUUUCUUUGUGUGCAUCAAACGAAGCAGAAAAAUGCCUCCAAUUUAAAGACACCAAAUGAAUAACCAAAUAGAUGAGAUUAAUUUUUGUUUAAUCCACGUGGGCAAUGAACCCAAUGGCCAAUGUUUGUGUGUGGACUUCUCCAGGGAGUUCAUUACCAGCUGAGUCUGUAAUAAGUUAAUGCAGAGAUUCCAUGGAAAUAGGGGGUUAAUUAUAUGCAGAGGAUGUUGGCCAAUGUACAGCUUUGAACAACAAAAAUAGCCCAAGUCUUCUGUUUUGGAUGUGGAAUCAAUUAACGAGGUCUGUGACAUUUACCAGAAUUUGUUAAGAUAGUUGUAUUAUAAGGAUACUUAUUUUCUUCUUCUUCUUUUUUAUUUUUUUUUAUAUAAAUAAAAAGCUAUAGAAAAUAAGUGGGUAAUGGAAGGCAAAGGAGAGAAAGACAUGAGACUGGUAAUAAAACACUGGACUUUGGCCUGGGGCCAAGGCAGGCUUUUCAAUGAGUCUGAAGUUUGGAUGGCAGCACAGUUUGAACCAGUUUUCGCUAACUGUCCAAAAGGUUAUACCGUAAUAGACAGAGAGAAGAGGCUGAUUUUAGUUUACCAACUCCCUUCUCUCUGCUGGCAGGAGCGUUAUGCUGCUAAGAUGCCACAGUCAUUACACUGAUGGAUAUAGCAUGUGGCACGGCGUGCUACAGAUUCAGCUCCAAAGCUGAAACACAAAAAAUUCUCCUUGAUGCUGGUUGGCACAAACCUAAUUUUUUCCCCCACUUUCCACAUCUGGUUUUAAUAUAAAAUGUGUCUUUCUGCACUUUUUUUUCCCCCUCUUGCCACAUCUUUAGAAAUGGCUUCUUUAAAAAAAAAAAAAGUGUACAAAGUGUCACUCCCCUUCCCCUGUAUCCCUAGGUUUUAGAAUUAAUGGUAUGUGUUUGUGGUAGUUCAGUAGUGCAGCUUGGGAGCUGAAUAGAGCACAGCAUAUACCUUUGUAAAGGGAUGUUUCAUAACAAAACCAAAGGAAGACCAGAUUACUUUUACUUCAGAGCAGUGAAAAACACUUUUGGCUGUUACAAGUUUUCAAGGAGCCACUUAAACAGUUAGAAUACAAAUUUGAAAGAAAAAUAUCUGACCCUUUUUCACCCCGUUUCACUUUAGGACAAGCUCUGGGUAUGUUCCAGGCAUUUCUAAAGUCCCUCACUAUUUUUUUUUUUUCUCUCACCCCCUUCUUCCAACUUGGUCCUUAAACACAUUAAUUUGUUCCUAGAAAUUAUCUACUUGUUUGUUGUGUUUUGGGGUUUUUUGUUUAUUUGUUUGUUUCUUUUGCAACAGAAAUCCUCAGACCAAAGCAAACACUGCCACAGAAAAAUGUUGCAAUUCAACCCAGUUUUGAGGCAAGUGCCCCUGAUAACGUCUCAGCUCCAAAGAGAAGCAGUGGAGGCUGGGACCACAAGUCUCCAUGGAAAUCACAGAAGGUCUCACAAGGUCCAGCCCAAAGGAGGUGAGUGGGUUUGAGCUGUGUUUGCACUGUCUGGCCAGGAAGGCAGGACUCAUCUCUGCCACAAAAGUCUCAGUGUGGUUUGUGCUGAAGUGGGAUUCCACAUCUGGGAUCUACCCAAGAGUACAUCAUACUCUCUUAGAGAUAGGAAAGCUUCAUAAAGGGAAGACUUUGAAUCAAGAAUCCACUGUGCAUUGCAACAUUUAUCGCUGUGAUUCACGUACCUCCAGUGUUACUGCAAAUCCAGGCAAAGUGUGAAAUGAUUCUCUCUCGUAUUUUUGGGGAAAUGCAACGUGCUCCAACCACACUGACUCUGAAAGUCAGCCCUGCUUUGGGCCACAGAAUUGUUAGGAUUUUUGAAAACCCUCAACAAACCUCAGCACCACAAUCUAGCCAAUUAAUUUUGAAGUGCUUUGGGAACAACUCAGGGAUUUUUCUUUUCACCUUAUGUAGCUCCAUAGAAACCCUUGGAGUUCUGCAGGUACAAACCAAGUUAUGAAGGAGCUGGUGGCACUAAGAGAGCUGGAACAUGAUUAAUAACUGUCAAAUUACAGGGAACAUUUUAAAAUCCCUUAAACUUCUCCCCUCCCCUACUUCAUACUGGCAACUAGGACAUGAGCCUUUAGCUAAGCUGUCUUUCCCGGAGGCAGUCCCUUCACUUGAGGCAGGAGAUAGUCUGAAACCACAGGCAAGGGGCUCAGAAACUUCACAACAAAAUUGUGACAUGGGAAAAAAAAAAAAGAGAGACUGGGUGACCUGCAGCACAGGGGAUCAUGCAUAUGCCAGCACCAGAAUCUUCAGACUUUCAUCAUAAUCAUAGCUUGACUGCCAGAUGAACUAUCUGCUUUUGUAUUCACAAUUGCAAAAUGGCUCUGCAGCAGCUCUAGCAAUUGCUCAGAGAGGAAAGAAAUACUUUUCUUGCAUCCUUAGUAUAGCAGGUGUUUUUACAAAUUAAAGAAGAAAAGAGAUUAAUUCUGCAUUUUAUCUUGGCCCUGCUCUGUGUCAGAAAUGUUUUCUUUGCCCAAGAGACAAGCAGUGGCAGUCAACUCUUUACAGAUAGUGUUUUUAGGUUGUUUUCUUGUAUACAUUUCAGUACUAUUUUUAUGGUUUAGAUAGCAUGGGGUACUUUGUUGCCCUGCUGUCUUUAGCAGAAAAACUUAAGAAGUUUGUUUCUCACUCCUGUUUGCCAUGGAGGCCUCAAUCCCAGAGAAAAUUGUAGAAGUACUUCAGUUAAACAAAAGGUUAAACAAAAUUAAUGAAGUUUGUAUGGUGCCCUGAAGGUUAUUAGACUCAAGGUCUGAGCAGCUGCCAAGGGGAGUGAGUUCCAGGGCAGGAGCAUUCAUCUGAGAAAUUCCAGUUGCUGGAUGUGGAGGGGUUGAACCUGGGAGCUGCAGGCGCCUCCCAGCUGAGCUCAGCUGCCAUGGCUGCAUUGGGGUAGCACCCCUGGCCCUUCCUGCACUCCUGGUCCGGACAGCAAA